UACGUAGGGUGCAAGCGUUAUCCGGAAUUAUUGGGCGUAAAGAGCUCGUAGGCGGUUUGUCGCGUCUGCUGUGAAAACCCGAGGCUCAACCUCGGGCCUGCAGUGGGUACGGGCAGACUAGAGUGCGGUAGGGGAGAUUGGAAUUCCUGGUGUAGCGGUGAAAUGCGCAGAUAGUCGGGAAGAACACCCGUGGCGAAGGCGGCUCUCUGGGACGGUACUGACGCUGAUGCGGCGAAAGCGUGGGGAGCAAACAGG
rnacentral:rRNA from 1 species